CACCUGUUUAUCAAAAACAUAGCUUUUUGAUUAUAAUUAAAGGUUAUUUCUGCCCUAUGAGUAAUUUUAAAUGGCUGCAGUAUAUUGACUGUGCUAAGGUAGCAUAAUCAAUUGUUUUUUAAUUGGAAACUUGAAUGAAAGAAAAAAUGAGAUUUAAGCUGUCUAAAGUUAAAAAUUUAUAAUUUAUUGUUUGAGUAAAAAAACUUAAAUUAAAACAUGGGACGAGAAGACCCUAUAGAAUUUUAUAUAAAUUUUAUAGUUAUAUUUAUUUAAUUAUUAUAAUAAAAUUUUAUAUUUAAUUGGGAGGAUUGUUAAAUUAAUAUAACUUUAAUUAAUAAAGACCAUUUAUGUAUGAGUUAAGGAUUGAUUAUUAAAUUAAGAAAGAAUUAAUUACCUUAGGGAUAACAGCGUAAUAUUUUUAGAAAGUUCAUAUUAAUAAAAAUGAUUGCGACCUCGAUGUUGAAUUAAGAUAAAAAUUAGAUGAAGAAGUCUAAUAUUUGGGUCUGUUCGACCUAUAAAAUCUUACAUGAUUUGAGUUCAAAUCGACG
rnacentral:rRNA from 1 species